AACGAACGCUGGCGGCAUGCCUAACACAUGCAAGUCGAACGAGAUCUUCGGGUCUAGUGGCGCACGGGUGCGUAACGCGUGGGAAUCUGCCCUUUGGUUUGGAAUAACAGUUGGAAACGACUGCUAAUACCGGAUGAUGACGAAAGUCCAAAGAUUUAUCGCCAGAGGAUGAGCCCGCGUAGGAUUAGCUAGUUGGUGUGGUAAAGGCGCACCAAGGCGACGAUCCUUAGCUGGUCUGAGAGGAUGAUCAGCCACACUGGGACUGAGACACGGCCCAGACUCCUACGGGAGGCAGCAGUGGGGAAUAUUGGACAAUGGGCGAAAGCCUGAUCCAGCAAUGCCGCGUGAGUGAUGAAGGCCUAAGGGUUGUAAAGCUCUUUUACCCGGGAUGAUAAUGACAGUACCGGGAGAAUAAGCUCCGGCUAACUCCGUGCCAGCAGCCGCAGUAAAAC
rnacentral:rRNA from 1 species